rnacentral:rRNA from 1 species
UACGUAGGGUGCAAGCGUUAUCCGGAAUUAUUGGGCGUAAAGAGCUCGUAGGCGGUUUGUCGCGUCUGCUGUGAAAACCGGAGGCUCAACCUCCGGCCUGCAGCGGGUACGGGCAAACUAGAGUGCGGUAGGGGAGAUUGGAAUUCCUGGUGUAGCGGUGGAAUGCGCAGAUAUCAGGAGGAACACCGAUGGCGAAGGCAGAUCUCUGGGCCGUAACUGACGCUGAGGAGCGAAAGCGUGGGGAGCGAACAGG